CAUGGAGACCGACCAGAAACAAGUUCCCCGUCCUCGCAGAGUACUUGCAGAGCAAAUUGUGGACGUGAGCCUGCGGUUGCCGGUGCCCCCCAUCUGGAAAUGAAGCCAAGUCGGAGUCCCGCAAAGCUAGAAACCGAGACAGCAGAUUCCCCGAUGAUGUCACGGGAGUGCCUGGUUCCUGGUAUUUCCAGCUCCUGGUGUCAGCACAGUGCCUGGCAUCGGAGAAUGAAGGAGCCCUCGUUUCACGGAUGAGGAACACGGGGCCCCAGGAGAAAGCCAUUUGCCUCACGCAAAUAUGGAGAGCUGGGGCUAGAUAGGUCCCAAGUUUCCUGGCUGUCAGGCCAAAUCAGUCGCUCGAUUCAACAAAUCUUCAUUGAUUAUCUCCCACCUGCCAGGCUCCGGACAUGGCAUGUGAGACUGAAGGAAAUAAGGAUGAUGUGGCCCCUUGCCAACCACACAUACAGUCUGGACCCCCCUUCCCCCCAACAGAGGAACUUAUUAACUCCAGUGAGCCUCUGAGGAAUUGAGGGUUGCAGAGUCCGGAUGUGCGACCAGGAGGCCUCCCAGGCUCCCAGUCCCAGAAGACUGGGAUCUGCCUGCGUCUCAUCUUCCCCACACCAGGCUCUGGCGUAUGGCCUCCCUACCACCCAAGCCCACGCUGCUCUGUUUCCCAGAGGCUGGAGGCCCGGGCCUGUCCUGCUGCGGUUACAGGAGCCAGCUCCCUGGCCACACUGGCCACAGAUGAUCGGAGCUUCAUCAGCUCAAACAGGGCUGUCCUCACAGGAACAGUGGGCACACAAGCCCUGCCCGAACCCAUUCUCCCCAAACAGAAGCCUAGGCGUUCACCGUUAGCGGUCCAUUUGCCUGCUGUGCUGUGUGUUUGUCUUUUAAAACACUCCUCACUGAAACUGUAGUU